GCCGGGAUGAUGGAAUUGGUAGACGUAGCGGACUUAAAAUCCGCUUCUCCGCAAGGAGAGUGCCGGUUCAAGUCCGGCUCCCGGCA
rnacentral:tRNA from 1 species